GAUGAACGCUGGCGGCGUGCCUAAUACAUGCAAGUAGAACGCUGAAGGAAGGAGCUUGCUCUUUCCGGAUGAGUUGCGAACGGGUGAGUAACGCGUAGGUAACCUGCCUGGUAGCGGGGGAUAACUAUUGGAAACGAUAGCUAAUACCGCAUAACAGUAGAUGUUGCAUGAUAUAUACUUAAAAGGUGCAAUUGCACCACUACCAGAUGGACCUGCGUUUUAUUAGUUAGUUGGUGAGGUAACGGCUCACCAAGGCGACGUUACAUAGCCGACCUGAGAGGUGGACCGCCAAACUUGGACUGGAACACGGCCCAAGCUCCUUCCGGAGGCAGCAGUUGGGAAUCUUUGGCAAUGGGCCGAAAGCUUACCGCACAACGCCGCGUUGGUGAAGGAAGGUUUCCGAGCGUUAAACUCUGUUUUUAGAGAAAGACGAGUAUGAGGUUAAUAAGUUCACGUUGUGACGGUAUCUAACCAGAAAGCAACGGCUAACUACGUG
rnacentral:rRNA from 1 species